UACGUAGGGGGCAAGCGUUGUCCGGAAUCAUUGGGCGUAAAGAGCGUGUAGGCGGCCCGAUAAGUCCGCCGUGAAAGUCCAGGGCUCAACCCUGGGAUGCCGGUGGAUACUGUCGGGCUAGAGUUCGGAAGAGGCAAGUGGAAUUCCUGGUGUAGCGGUGAAAUGCGCAGAUAUCAGGAGGAACACCUAUGGCGAAGGCAGCUUGCUGGGACGACACUGACGCUGAGACGCGAAAGCGUGGGGAGCAAACAGG
rnacentral:rRNA from 1 species